rnacentral:misc_RNA from 1 species
CCAUAAACCGUGGCUCAGUUCAGAUCGUAGGCUGCAACUCGCCUACGUGAAGGCGGAAUCGCUAGUAAUCGCAGGUCAGCAUACUGCGGUGAAUACGUUCCCGGGCCUUGUACACACCGCCCGUCACACCAUGGAAGUUGGCCACGCCCGAAGCCGUUACUCCAACCCUUGUGGAGGAGGACGUCGAAGGUGGGGCUGAUGACUGGGGUGAAGUCGUAACAAGGUAUCCGUACCGGAAGGUGCGGAUGGAUCACCUCCUAACAGGGAGACAACACAAUGAUUUUGAUGCCUGAGUGCUUUUAUUCUUAGGCCGAAAUCCUGUCACCUUAGGUCGAUCGGUACCUCAGCAUUGAGAGCAAUGAAUGAUGAGCAAUCAUCAGGAGAUUGAAGGAGAUGUUCAGUUCCUAAACUUUGUCUAGGUCACACCCCAAAAGGGAUGAGACUCCUGGGCCAUUAGCUCAGGUGGUUAGAGCGCACCCCUGAUAAGGGUGAGGUCCCUGGUUCAAGUCCAGGAUGGCCCAUUCGGUGUUGGGGGUUUAGCUCAGUUGGUAGAGCGCCUGCUUUGCAAGCAGGAUGUCAGGAGUUCGAGUCUCCUAACCUCCACUGACCGAACUUUGUCCCCAGCUUCAAUUUUUGGAGUUGAGCUCGAUUGGUGUGUGAUUUAGAUGUGUCCGCUGGAGACCCUAGCUUCCUGUCAUUCCAAGUUUUAAGUUUAAAGCUUUGACUUUGGUUGAUAAGAUGCUGGGCUCG